UUCUGAGAAGUGCAGCAUGCUUAUAUUAAGUAUGAUCUCUAUAAAAUUAGCUUUAAAUCCACACGAACAGCAUUUUUGCUCAGGUUUUUUUUUUUUUUAUUUGCAUUUCGACGGCUUGAGCGAAUAACUCACUAUGCCGAGUGUUUGAUUUCCGAAAAAGUCCACUCCAUGCUGUAACAUUCUAGCCUGAAGUGCACACUUGUGUCUGCACUGAAUACUGCGUCUGCACUAGAUAGCAUGAGUCCACGUCUGUACCAUGUUUAAGCUUGUAUUCACAUUGCACCAAAACACGGUUGUCUGAAAAGUUGGAUUGUUUCUUGAUUUUUCAAUAAAAUCAGCAUCACUGAGAA